rnacentral:rRNA from 1 species
UACGGGGGGAGCAAGCGUUGUUCGGAUUUACUGGGCGUAAAGGGCGCGUAGGCGGUCAGCACAAGUCAGUUGUGAAAUCUCCGGGCUUAACUCGGAAAGGUCAACUGAUACUGUGCGACUAGAGUGCAGAAGGGGCAACUGGAAUUCUCGGUGUAGCGGUGAAAUGCGUAGAGAUCGGGAGGAACACCCGUGGCGAAGGCGGCCAGCUGGGCCGGACCUGACGCUGAGGCGCGAAGGCGUGGGGAGCGAACGGG